rnacentral:lncRNA from 1 species
UUUCUUAAAACUAGCUGUUCAAUGCUAUACCCAAUUGCAUGGCCUAAUUAAGUAAGAGUCAUGGCCUAUUUCAACGGAUCUUCUAUCCAGCAAGAAGAUAAUCACAUUAUAGUACAUAAUCACAUUAUAGUACAUAACUCGCAGCGAAUCAGAAGGGCACAUAAUAGCUAGCAAUACUCAGUAUUUCAUCAACUUACAACCUAACAUAAUAUAACAUACACAACCAUAUCACAGGAAACUUCCAUUUUGUUCUAACUUGAAGUAAGCUUCUUCAAACUUCAUAAUUGGAGCUGUUCUACAUGAACGUCAACACCACCAUCAGAUCUGUCCUUAGAAGCUGCUAGUCACACGCGUUGCGUCGGUCGCAGUCGCGGGCGCGGGAGGCGGAGGAGAAGCUGGCCACCAGCAGCGGAGGCCUCGCGGCGCUGCUCGUGCGGGACUCGGUGGCGCUCUCGGCGCACCGACGGUGGGUGAUGAUGCUGGAGGCCGAGAACUCCGCGCUCAGGGCAGGAGGAGGAGCCGCCGGCGCGGAGCCCGAGGAGGACGAUGGCGCGGGGCACCGGGUGGCUGCCGCGUGGUGGGUCGCGCUGGUGGUGUGCGUCGGCCUCGCCCUCGGCAACCUCCUGCUCUGAAAAGUGAAAACUCACCUCCUGCUGUGAAAACCGAAAUUAAUCAAUCAUCCUUGAUUUGAUUUUUGUAAAUCAAGCGCCCGUGUGUGUGUGAAAAUGUUCCUGCUAUCAUCGAUCGAUGCUUGGCAAGGGAACCCCGUGCUCUUGUUGAAAAACAGAUGAAAUCAAGAGGGUUGAUAGAUUGGAGCGGAAGCUGCCGUAUCUGUCUCUGCACGCGAUCAGCAGAUUCGUGCCGAGUCGUAGGUUAGUUAGUGAGUAUGGUUGUUUAAUUUAGCCUGAUCGAUCUGGAUAACAUAUUAACAUCUGGUCCUGGCACAGUGCUCCAUGAGUCAUGACUGCGACAUUUCAGCCGGUCGCCGGUUGGCUUUUGCACAUUUCAGCACAACGGGUAAUGAGCCACUGCCCAUUGAACCCGAGAUGGCUGUCCGAUCAAACUCAC